GCACCUUCCAGGUAGGACGCUCCCCUCAGAUUCUGGUGAUGCUUGGCAGUGGCUGGCGAACGAUGUGGACGAUUAGCUAGCUACGUGAUUGGUGCGUAGAUUUAGAUCUCACUGAGUGAAGCUCUCAUCUUCUGAGUUACUGCUGUAGAAGUCCAGCCGACCUCCUUAGUGAUCGUCCUUUACCUUGUUCACUCUUCAGGGGACGUCAUCAUUUCCCUCAAAGAUCUGAUGUGAGAAUGAAAUGAGAUGAUACAAGGAAGAGGAGCUGCCGGUCCUGGCCCAGAAAAGGCACCAAGUUAAGGAGAGACUGCCAAAACACAGAGCUGAUUUGCCCACGAGUUUACAGCAUGGCAAUGACAUUAUAUUUUCAGAGAAGUUUUUGGCUCCCAGCGAUAUUGAGAGGGGGGCACAGAGGCUGCUCACACAAUCCUCCUGCCUCCAGGCAGGCACAGCCUCCACCAUCAUCAGCAUCCCCCGCCAGAGUGGUCCAUUUGUGACAACCAAGGGGCCUCCGUCAACCAUCAUGAUCACAUCAAGUCCACAGUUUACAUCGGGCUCCGUUCUUGGAGUUAUACAUUCCAUGGGUUUGGACAAAUGUAUGAUGACCCAUAUACAUCGUCACGGUAUCAAUCGGAAUAGUUUCACUGCCAUAAAAAUCCUCUGUGUCCUACCUCUUCAUCUCCCCACCCCCCUUCUACCCCAACUCCUGACAACUCCUGAUCUUUUUUUCUGUCUCCACAGUUGUGCCUUUUCUAGAAUGUCAUAUAGUUGGAAUCAUACAGUAGGUAGUCUUUUCAUAUCGGCUUCUUUCACUUGGUAAUAUGCGUUUAAGUUUCCUUCAUGUAUUUUCAUGGCUUGGUAGAUCAUAUCUCUUUCGUGUUGAAGAGUAUUUCAUUGUAUGGAUGCACCACGGUUUAUUUCUCCACUCACUUACUGCAGGACAUCUUGGUGGCUUCCAAGUUUUUGCAGUUAUGAAUAAAGCUGCUAUAAACAUCUGU